UACUGAAGAAUAAAUGUAUCACCUUAUACUUCUCCUCCCGUUACCUUGAUCAGGUUCCCCUUAGUGAUAAGUAGUUGUCUCCCCUUAGAUGAAAGAUCAAUCCUCCUCCUUAGUUGAAAGAAGAAUCUCCCCCUCAGUAGUACACAGCUAAAGAGUAGUUUAAUCCCCCUUAGUUGUAGACAGCUAAAGAAAGCUAACUUACUUUUUCUUCCCCCUUUCAUAUAUUCUCCCCCUAAAUAUAUUCUCCCCCUUAGUUGUGG
rnacentral:lncRNA from 1 species